UACGGAGGGUGCGAGCGUUGUCCGGAAUCAUUGGGCGUAAAGGGCGCGUAGGUGGCGGGACAAGCGUGCGGUGAAAGCCUGGGGCUCAACCCCGGGUCGGCCGUGCGAACUGUUUUGCUUGAGCACUGUAGAGGCAGGCGGAAUUCCGGGUGUAGCGGUGGAAUGCGUAGAGAUCCGGAAGAACACCGGUGGCGAAGGCGACCUGCUGGGCAGUAGCUGACACUGAGGCGCGACAGCGUGGGGAGCAAACAGG
rnacentral:rRNA from 1 species